rnacentral:lncRNA from 1 species
AUUUAUUGAACUUGCACAUUAUUCGUCGUGUCGCAUCGGUAGAAGCCCUCCUGGCUUUGUCCCGAGGUUAGAGCUCGGGCCUUUCAUUUAUUGCACUUAUUUGCACAGUAUUCGUCGUGUCGCAUCAGUAGAAGCCCGCUUGGCUUUGUCCCGAGGUUAGAGCUCGGGCAUUUCAUUUAUUGCACUUAUUUGCACAGUAGGUGUCGCAUCGGUAGAAGCCCGCUUGGCUUUGCCCCGAGGAGUAGAACUCGGGCCUUUCAUUUAUUGCACUUAUUUGCACAGUACGUGUCGCAUCGGUAGAAGCUCGCUUGGCAUUUUCUCAAGGUUACAACUCGAGUCUU